GACGAACGCUGGCGGUGUGCUUAACACAUGCAAGUCGAGCGAUGAAGCACUUUCGGGUGUGGAUUAGCGGCGAACGGGUGAGGAACACGUGAGGAAUCUGCCUUCCACUCUGGGAUAACUCCGGGAAACCGGGGCUAAUACCGGAUACUUUCAACUGGCGGCAUCGCUGGUUGAAGAAAGUUUUUCGGUGGAAGAUGACCUCGCGGCCUAUCAGCUUGUUGGUGAGGUAAUGGCUCACCAAGGCGACGACGGGUAGCCGGCCUAAGAGGGCGACCGGCCACACUGGGACUGAGACACGGCCCAGACUCCUACGGGAGGCAGCAGUGGGGAAUAUUGGGCAAUGGAGGAAACUCUGACCCAGCGACGCCGCGUGAGGGAUGAAGGCCUUCGGGUUGUAAACCUCUUUCAGCAGGGAAUAAGCGAAAGUGAAGGUACCUGCAGAGGAAGCACCGGCUAACUAUGUGCCAGCCGCCGCGGUAA
rnacentral:rRNA from 1 species